GGCUGUCCGACGUUUAGCUGCCUAUUUAGCAAAAGUGGUUUGUUUAACGUCAACGGCUUAAGCUAGCGUGUUUCCGCUUACCUGUCUGCGAAUGGCAGCGACGUUCCUCUUCAAACAGCUGUAUUUCUGAGAUGCCACGGGGUCAGGGCGAGUUGAAUCCCGUGUUAGAAGUGUCCCCACGUUGACCUGCGCCUGACUGGCCUCCCAGCAAAAAGCCCCUGUGAAGACCUCACCAAAUGACCAGAAGCCUCUGCCUGGAAGUGAGAAAGCACAGAAAAAUGAAGUUUGCCAGAAAUAAACCCCCUCAGAACAUGAACUGGAGGGAGUCUUUGUUGUUACAGUAUGGAGCGUGCAGGCAGAAGUUCAGGCUCUGUUUAACGGGCUGACCGUCAGACUGAUGGGGAGGAGGAGGAUCGAUAGGCGGCUGCUUUGAUCUCUCAUCUUCACGUUCAGCUCCAUCGCUCUGAUUGGCUCUGAGAGGAAUCUACAGCUGAGGUCAAAACUACUGAAACAAAAACUAGACAGGUCAUAUAUCUCCCUCUGCUUCACCUGUACAACAUCAGGUAUUAAAGAGAGAGGAACACUUCAUCCCUCUCUGACAUCCUACCUUCAUGAGAAGUUUUUCUAAAGAAGCUCCUCAGUCCGGUCUGUUGGGAGUCCGUUGGAGCCGUUUGUUUGAGGUCCUCCUCACGUUUCCCUGCAAACUAAAACUCCUCCUCGACCGCAGGCCGCCGCCACCGCCGUGAAAAGAA